rnacentral:misc_RNA from 1 species
CCGUUCCUCUCCAACAUGGCGACUGACAGGCGGAGACGCACGCUCCUCCUCGCUUCCUUCGUGGUUUUGCACGUCGUCUCGCGUUCCUGGGCCAAGCCCGGCGUCGUAGAGCUCGAUGAAGACAAUUGGCACCAGAUGCUCGAGGGGGAGUGGAUGGUGGAGUUCUUUGCCCCAUGGUGCCCUGCUUGCAAAGCCUUGAAGCCCAUUUGGCAAGACUUUGCAACCUGGAGCGAUGACUUGGGCAUCUCCGUGGGACAGGUGGACGUCACAAACUCCCCGGGAUUGUCAGGUCGCUUCAUGGUCACGGCUUUGCCCACAAUUUAUCAUGUAAAGGAUGGAAAGUUCCGACAGUACCGGGGGUCUCGAGACAAGGAUGAGUUCAUGAGCUUCGUGGAGGAGCGGCGAUGGCAGGAGGUGGAAGAGGUCCCUGCGUGGAAGUCGCCGGCUUCCUUCCAGAUGUCGGUCGUUUCACAGUUUUUCAAGCUCUCCAUGGUUCUCCGAGGAGUUCAUUCAGUCCUAGUGGAAGACUAUGGACUCCCAACAUGGGGGUCAUACCUCGUCUUUGCCCUCGCCACCAUUUUGGUCGGUGCCUUGCUUGGCUUGAUCCUGGUGUGUAUCAUCGACUUUGUGUUCCCUCCCAAGGCACCAGGCCCAGCUCCAGUUGUCACUUCAGCUGGUCUUAAAGCAGAUGAUGAUGAGGAAGAUUUAGUAGAGGAUACUAAAGCAAAGAGUGAAGAUGCUGAGGAGGAGUCACAAGGACAAGAGGAAAGUGAUGAUAAAGAGGAAAGAAAGAAAGCAGGUAGUGGAGAUGAGGAUGAAGAUGUAGAAGUGGAUGAGGAUGAGGAGGGAGAGGAGGAACAGAAAGACAAGGAGGAAGAAGAAAAGAAGGAAGAGGAGGAGGAGGAGGAGGAGGAGGAGGACUCUCAAGCUGAAGAAGACAAAGAAUCAGGAAGCCCCAAAACCUCUCCAGAAGUGAGGCGGCGGCGGCCAAGGAAAGCAGACUAGCUGACUAGGUCCUUUAGAUUAUCCCCUUUAUCCCCUUCCGAAUGGGUCUGUAGCAGGACUCGCAUUCUCUCUCUCUUUCUCUCUCUCUCCCUCUCUCUGGCUCUCUCUCUCUCUUUCCCUGCCAAUGACUCACAACCAUGAGGCAUUUGAAUCUAACUUUCAAAUCAAGGGAUGAGCCCAUGACCACGGAACCUGCUUGACUGUUUAAUGAGAGCAGCUGAUGCUGGCAGAAUUAACUUUUUUUUUUUCCUCCCUCUCUCAUUCUAAAUGGCUUUUUAUUCACAUUUGCUGAUGGGUGUUGACUCCAUGGCAUUUAAGUUUUUGUCUUCUACUAAUGCUGUUUUUAUUUUUUUAUUUGAUUAUUAUUUUUUUUUUUUUUUUUUUCUUGUAUUUUAAGGUUUUACCAUGCAUACAUUUUGUCCAUGAAGAAUCCUUUGGUGUAUAGAUUUAUGUAUGUGCAUUAAUAUAUAUCUUGUCUUGGUGCUCUUAGGUAGUCUUUGCAUUCCCCUUCCCCUCCUCCCUGCCUCACCCCCCCAGCCCCCCUACCAACACACCUCCAAAAUAGGACAAAACUUGUUAAUACAUGUUUAAGAAUAUUCCAUAUGAGUGGGCUUUCACAUGAUAGGUUUUUCGGUGAUAAUACAAUAUAUUUUCUUUUUUCCUCUCAUCUCCUCCUCUUGUUUUUUAAUAGUUUUUGACAUAGAUUUCAUAAUGCUUCGUGCCAGUAACAAUUGCCAAAUAUUACCCCUAUGCUUCAAAUUCAUAAGAACAUCUAGGAAUACUAAUAAUCAUAUUGCUGUUUACUGUUGACUUUGGUUUUUGCUGGUGUGAAAUGGAGUCACUAAUUGCAGCAUUGAAAUUAAAAUGCUGAUAAAACUUAACCAGAUUCUAUAAUUAAUUUUUAUUUCUUUCUCUCUCUCUCUCUCAGAUUAUUUAAAAGAAUUUAAUGUUGACUUGAUAUUUCCUUUAGAAGUACUUUAGUUUUCUCUUUCAAUCUCUGUCUGCCUGUCUUUUAUUCAUGUGCAAUGUUAAUGUGAAUACCUUUUCCCUGUAAAAAUCAUCUUGCCACAUGCAUCAAUCUGAUAUUGAUUAUUUACAAACUGGUUUAUUGUUGACAUUAAGAAAUGUUAUCAAGUAGCCAACUUAGGAUGGUGCUCAGGGGAAGCACCUUGUCGGUGUUGGGAUAGUGAAGGAAAUGCACCAAGGUCUUUCUGUCUGUAUCGGCAAAUGAGGUUGAUUGUUCCACCCCAGAUUUUUUUCUUUCUUUUCUUUUCUUUUCUUUUUUUUUUUUAUUUUCUCCCCCAGUUCAUUGUAAUUUUUUAUUUUCUCUUCCAUGCUUUAAGACAAACAUCCUUAAGGUUGAUGAGCUUGUUUAUGUGGAUGAGAAUAACUAGGGUAUUUCACCUAAGAGUAGAACUUCGUAUAACAUUUGCACUAAUCCCUAGGUAAGCACACAUCUGUCCUGGAACAAGCAAGUCGAACACUUAAAGUGUGCAUAUCAAGUGUUCAGUUGAUGUUUUACUCUGGAACUUUGUCUCAGCACUAUUGCUGUGGAACACUUUUGCUUUCAUUAUAUAUUUUUUCACUUAUAUUAAGUUUGUAAGGUAUGGAGAAUGAAGGUAUACACUAUUGGUCAUGCAGAUUGCUCACUGGAUGGAAGGUUGAUAUUGUGAUAGCUGUUAAUGAUAAUACAGUGAUAUCAUGUAGUUUUGUAGACUCAUCCAGCCGGUAAAUUUAGAAUGUUAUCAUGAUUACUAUUAUUAUCAUUCUUUUUCCCUCUAUUACUCUGUAUUAGUUACCUUUAGUCUUAAGACAAACUCUGAACUUUCAAGUGAAAAAGAAAGAAAAGUCGAGUUGGUAUUCUCAUAACAUCAACCAUUUGAUUCUGUAAAGAAGGUUGGAAGUAUAUUUUCUUCAUUAUCCUUGUAAUUCUGAUUCUUAAUUUUUGUAAUUCAGUUUCUCUCUCUCUCUUUUUUUUUAGACGAUACAAAAAAUUGAAAAUUAAACUAGUAGAGUUAGAAACUUGUGUUACUGAGAUUUUUUUUCCUCUUCUCUUUCCCCCUUUUUUUCUCUUUCUUUCUUUCUUUCUCUCUCCUUCUCCCUUCAUAAUCUCUCCUGUUCCUCACCAUUCUGUUUGUACAGUUGAUCUCUCUGAUAUUUCUAGCAUAUCAGGAUUUAAAAAUUUGGUCGAUGUAUGUGAAUGCAAUCUCUCUCUUUCUAGUUUUGCCAGUACUUCUGUUAGAUAAAACUCUGGAAAAACUAUGAAGAAAGUAAAAAAUUAAAGUGAUGGUUAGAAAUUUUGGAGUUUGUCUUAUCAAUAUUUCAGAUAAUUUUUGUAUGUCAGAUUUGCAAACUUGUAGAAAUACAGGGAUGGGAUUGUUUCUACUUCUGUAUGAAUUUGGGUGUGGUAAAGUUUAUUUUUGUCAACAGUCUCAGAUUCUGCCACAUCUAGCAUCAAAGUUGAGAAUUGAGUUCAAUAGGUAUUGUGACUAUUAUGAUCACUGUUGCUGGUAUUAAUUUUGAAAUGAUUAGUAAUAAUAUUGUUAUUAUCAUUAUUAUUAUUAUUAUUAUUAAUGUAUUUGUAUUAAUAAGAUUAGUGUAUGUAAUUAAUUUGAUGUACACCAUUACCUCAUUUUGAUUUUUUUUAUUUCUAGCUACUAACUGAAAUAUUUAAAGAUUCUAACAGUAACAUAUUAACAAGAAAUCCAGUCUCUUUUGACUUCCAUAUUGGCUGGAUAAUUUUUUCCUUUUUUUUUCCACUUUUUCAUAGAGCUUGGUUAUGAUUACAAAUGUGAUACAAGUAGCAUUAUGAGAAAAUCAAACACCCACUUAGAAGAUCAUUUUGGUGCUGCAACUCCUCUUCCAGUAUGCAGGGAAGGUAAAGCAACGGGCUCUUUGACAUAUUGAGCUAGCACUGCACAUAGCAUUGUCUGGUCUUGUCCUUCUCUGAAAACAGUUUUGCAGAGCUGAUGUCCACUGAUGUUGGUUGAAUGGAAAAUAAACAAUAUAUAGUCCAUAGAAAUGUAUCCUAUUUGGGACCCAAGUUAUUACACCAUGCACCAUGUACUAAAUCAUACCCAUGUUCAUACUGAACAAGCCUAUGAUCUUCAUGCUUUGUAUGAUUAUGUGUGCAUAAUUAUUAUUUUAUAAAUAAAACACUUUUAUAA